AGUUGAAGAAGAUCCCGUCGUCAGAUGAGUUUUCCCUCAGUAAAACUCUGGGCGAUCCCAUCAGGAUCAGAGCGUGGAAUAUCGCAGGUCUUCCCAGUGACUCUUUCUCCAUUGACAACGGCGUAAUUGUCAGUAACUCGCGUAGAUGGCCCUUGAUGAUUGACCCUCAGGGCCAGGCCAACAAAUGGGUGAAGAACUCGGA